CAGCAGUAGGGAAUCUUCCACAAUGGACGCAAGUCUGAUGGAGCAACGCCGCGUGAGUGAAGAAGGGUUUCGGCUCGUAAAGCUCUGUUGUUAAAGAAGAACGUGGGUAAGAGUAACUGUUUACCCAGUGACGGUAUUUAACCAGAAAGCCACGGCUAACUACGUGCCAGCAGCCGCGGUAAUACGUAGGUGGCAAGCGUUAUCCGGAUUUAUUGGGCGUAAAGCGAGCGCAGGCGGUCUUUUAAGUCUAAUGUGAAAGCCUUCGGCUCAACCGAAGAAGUGCAUUGGAAACUGGGAGACUUGAGUGCAGAAGAGGACAGUGGAACUCCAUGUGUA
rnacentral:rRNA from 1 species